GACUGGACUCGUCUCCAGCCCCUCUCCCCAUCCUGGAGGAGGGAGAGUGGAGUUGAAAAUUCCAACCUUUUAGUCACAUGGUUGGUUCCUCUGGCAAGGGGCUCCCAUCCUCUGAGUCACCUUAUUAACAUAAACUCGGGGUAUCACUCUGUCACCCAGGUGGGAGUGCAGUGGCAUGAUCAUGGCUCAUCUCUCUUCCUCCACUCUUCUCACGGGACUCCUCCUUGGCCUACUGGAUACCAGAGGAGGCAGAACAGCAAAGUGAAGUGACUCAGAACAUUGGGAAGACCAGCAUGAUUCCAUUUCUGACUCCGGCAUUGGCCACAGGCCCUUGCGUAUGCUCUGCAAACCAGCUGAGCCUCAGUUUACCUUCCAUACGUGGGGGCACCAGCAGUACCUACCUCACAAGGGUGUUGUAAAGAAUAAAUGUGAUAAUUCAAGUAAA